UACGAAAGGGGCUAGCGUUGUUCGGAAUCACUGGGCGUAAAGCGCACGUAGGCGGCUUUUUAAGUCAGGGGUGAAAUCCUGGAGCUCAACUCCAGAACUGCCUUUGAUACUGAGAAGCUUGAGUCCGGGAGAGGUGAGUGGAACUGCGAGUGUAGAGGUGAAAUUCGUAGAUAUUCGCAAGAACACCAGUGGCGAAGGCGGCUCACUGGCCCGGUAUUGACGCUGAGGUGCGAAAGCGUGGGGAGCAAACAGG
rnacentral:rRNA from 1 species